CCCAUGCACUAGGGCCUCUGCACACAAAGGGUACAGUUGCUCAGGCUGUUGAUCCAGCAACUCCAAGCCUUUCCCCAAGUUAACUCCAGGACGAGGAAGAAGCAAAGUGCUCUCCCUCAGUCUGAGUUAUUCAGAUGCCCCAUGGAAAGGGACAUGGAUGAAGCUGGAAACCAUCAUCCUCAACAAACUAACACAAGAACAGAAAAUAAACACCACAUGUUCUCACUUAUAAGUGAGAGUUGAGCACUGAGAACACAUGGACACAGGGAGGGGAACAUCACACACC
rnacentral:lncRNA from 13 species